rnacentral:rRNA from 1 species
AUUGAACGCUAACGGCGUGCUUAACACAUGCAAGUCGAGCGGCAGCAUGAUUGUAGCAAUACAAUUGAUGGCGAGCGGCGGACGGGUGAGUAAUAUAUAGGAAUCUGCCUUGUAGUGGGGGAUAACCCGGGGAAACUCGGGCUAAUACCGCAUAAUCUCUACGGAGCAAAGUGGGGGAUCGUAAGACCUCACGCUAAAAGAUGAGCCUAUAUUGGAUUAGCUAGUUGGUAGGGUAAAGGCCUACCAAGGCAACGAUCCAUAGCUGGUCUGAGAGGAUGAUCAGCCACACUGGGACUGAGACACGGCCCAGACUCCUACGGGAGGCAGCAGUGGGGAAUUUUGGACAAUGGGCGCAAGCCUGAUCCAGCAAUGCCGCGUGCAGGAUGAAGGCCUUCGGGUUGUAAACUGCUUUUGUACGGAACGAAACGGCGAGCUCUAAUACAGUUCGCUAAUGACGGUACCGUAAGAAUAAGCACCGGCUAACUACGUGCCAGCAGCCGCCGUAA